AUUUGUUGACGCGUCCCACUUUUCCUUGGCUUCAUCUCAGAGGCGUGCUUCGUUGCUUUGCCUCUCUUCUUCUUCAGCUAAGUCCUAAUAUUUGUCUUCAGGGGAUGAGGUUAUGGUGGGAAAACAUGAUUAUGAAGCUGAAAUUGGAUAAAUUGGAGCCUUGAAGGACAAUCAAUUGCAGAAGAUGCGCAAUUGUACAAAAGAGUUCUCAUGGAUAGGGUUGCCAUGGACGUGUAA